rnacentral:rRNA from 1 species
GCCUACGGGGGGCAGCAGUAGGGAAUCUUCCACAAUGGGCGAAAGCCUGAUGGAGCAACGCCGCGUGGGUGAAGAAGGUCUUCGGAUCGUAAAACCCUGUUGUUAGAGAAGAAAGUGCGUGAGAGUAACUGUUCACGUUUCGACGGUAUCUAACCAGAAAGCCACGGCUAACUACGUGCCAGCAGCCGCGGUAAUACGUAGGUGGCAAGCGUUAUCCGGAUUUAUUGGGCGUAAAGGGAACGCAGGCGGUCUUUUAAGUCUGAUGUGAAAGCCUUCGGCUUAACCGGAGUAAUGCAUUGGAAACU